rnacentral:ncRNA from 1 species
UUAACAUGUGCGCGAGUCAUUGGGUUUUACGAAACUCAAAGGCGCAGUGAAGAUAAAGGUUGGGCUUGUACAGACUAGGGUGAGAUCCUGUUGUUUUGGUCAUAAAUUCCAAGCUGCGAGCAGAAGACGCAUUACCGACAGGUCACACGACGUAGACAUGUGACCUUGUGCUAUGUGCACCGUCGAAGCGAAGCAAGAGCUUCCAUGUUGAAACGCGGAAAAUGUUGAACUAUGCUUACUAAGGUUGAAGCCAGAGGAAAUUCUAGUGGAGGACCGUAGCGAUCCUGACGUGAAAAUCAAUCUUAUAACGUGAGUAUAGGUGUAGAAGACUAAUCAAGCCAUUUAGUAGCUGG